GGGUAACUCAUCCGCUCUCUUCUUUUCUUUGUCUUCUUUACUUAGAUUACAACCAGCAUCAGUACCAGUUUUGGGCUUAGGUUCUUCCAUUGGUUAGUCUCAAUACUAACCUCUUCCUCCAAGUUCUCAUUUUGGCUAGCAUCAGUACUAGCCUCUCUCACCUGGUCUUGAUAUGGGUCCUUAAGAAUCCAACCAUUUCUAAACUCAAAAAUUACUUUGACAUUCUCA
rnacentral:lncRNA from 1 species